AAGUUCAGAAGCUUCCAUGGAACUUCAAAACCUCACAUUCAGACCUCGCUCCUCCCAUGGGGAUUUCAGACAGUCGCCUCUGCCGCGCCGGAAAUCGCUUAUGGCGGCGGAUGAGGUUCAAACACUACCUUCAAUACACCAAACGAACUGUAUCCUCCUCUUUCUAAACCCUAAACUCACUCACUCCAAUUUUAACUCUAUUAGUCUGAAUCGAACACACUAAAUAAUGAACCCUAAUUUCAAAUACAUCCAUUCCAAACCAAAGGGAGGAAGAUGGAGGUUAAUGGCUAUUAAGUACCUACACGCGUUUCCGAUGAGGUUAAUGGCAAGAAAAUACCAGAGGCAACACCAGCUUAGUUCAUAUCGUGUGUAGACCUGUUAGUAUUUUGCAACUUGGUUUGUGUUCAAUGCCCAGAUCAUUUGCUGCAGAUUGACCAUCUGACAUGGUAGGAUCCAUGAUUGAGAGGCAAGGUAUGCCAGGGUAAGUUUUUCAUGCAACAAUUGGUAUUAACUGAUGUCCCAUGUGUAUGAUCAUGUAUGCUUGCCAUGAAUGUGAUAUGCUUCUCAUGAAUGUAUUGUUGGUUUGCGCUACAUGAUGCUCUGCAAUUAUCAUGUUUGGAUGAACACUUGGCCAUGGUUUGCAAUGGAUUAAUGGGGUAUUCUGACUUGUUCUUAGUUCUGCAGGUAUAGCUUAUCAAUACUGCCUCACUUCUGACCUUGGUAUAACCUCAUGUAACAUGAUUUAGCAUGUUGCAACAUUACUUUGCUUUGCUAGGCUUACUUGCUCAAGCUAAGUCCAUGGCAUGAUGGCAUCAAUGUGGAAAACCAUGUCCAAAAUGCCAAAUCAAGAUUAAAGUGGAAUUGGAAAAUGGGAUGAGAAUUAGGAUUAGGAAGUUAGGGGUAUAGGAUGGAAAAAGAUUUUGAGUUGACUUUGGCCAAAGUUGACCAAAGUCAACAUUUGGUCAACAUGUAAUUUUUUUCAUUUUCUUAGAUGUAAUGAACAUUUCAUGGAUGAUAGUGGAUAGAUUUGGUUAUUUGAAUGAAAAGUGAAUGGAUUUAAUACA